UACGGAGGGUGCAAGCGUUAUCCGGAUUCACUGGGUUUAAAGGGUGCGUAGGCGGGCUUGUAAGUCAGUGGUGAAAUCCCGGAGCUUAACUCCGGAACUGCCAUUGAUACUAUAGGUCUUGAAUUUUCUGGAAGUCAGCGGAAUAUGUCAUGUAGCGGUGAAAUGCUUAGAUAUGACAUAGAACACCAAUUGCGAAGGCAGCUGACUACGGAACGAUUGACGCUGAGGCACGAAAGCGUGGGGAUCAAACAGG
rnacentral:rRNA from 1 species